ACACUUUGGUCAGCCGGAGGCCACUGUAGGAGCCUCCAGGGAGUUCUCUUUGAGGCUGGAAUGCAGUAGCGUGAUCUCUACUCACUGCAGCCUCAAUCUCCUGGUCUCAAGCCAUUCUCCCACCUCUGUCCUUCAGGUAGCUGAGACUACAGGCGUGCACCAUCACACCCAGUGCUCGAAUGUCCCAACCUGAAGCUGAAGAAGCCGCCCUGGCUGCAAGUGCUGUCGGCCAUGAUUGUGUAUGCUCUGAUGGUGGUGUCUUACUUCCUCGUCACUGGAGGAAUAAUUUAUGAUGUUAUUGUUGAACCUCCAAGCAUUGGCUCUAUGACUGAUGAACACGGGCAUCAGAGGCCAGUAGCUUUCUUGGCCUACAGAGUAAAUGAACAAUGUAUUAUGGAAGGACUUGCAUCCAGCUUCCUGUUUACAAUAGGAGGUUUAGGUUUCAUAUUCCUGGACCGAUGGAAUGCACCAAAUAUCCCAAAACUCAAUAGAUUUCUUCUUCUAUUCAUUGGAUUCGUUUGUGUCCUAUUGAGCUUUUUCAUGGCUAGAGUAUUCAUGAGAAUGAAACUGCCGGGCUAUCUGAUGGGUUAGAGUGCCUUUGAGAAGGGCUAUCUGAUGGGUUAGAGUGCCUUUGAGAAGAACUCAAUGGAUACUGGAUUUGCUCCUGUCAAUGAAGUUUAAAGGCUGUCCAAUCCUCUAAUAUGAAAUGUGGAAAAGAAUGAAGAGCAGCAGUAAAAGAAAUACCGAGUGAAAAAACAGGAAGUGUAUUGAAGCUUGGACUAGAAUUCCUUCUUGGUAUUAAAGAGACAAGUUUAUCACAGUAUUUUUUUUUCCCCUGCUGACCCAUUGCUGUACCAACGAUGUUGAGUGGCAUUUUCUUCUUAGUUUUUCAUUUCUUAAAAAAAAAAGCUCCAUAUUUACAGCUAUAAUAUCAAAUAAAGUGAUUAUUUUUUACAACCCCCUUAACACCUUUUGGAGAUGGCGUUUCUGUUUUCAGAAAUUAACGUAAAAUCAAGAAGCAAGAUUCCAUAAGCUGAGAACUCUGGACAGCUGAUCAGGUUUACCUAUGGUGCUUUGCCUUUAACUAGAGUGUGUGACGGUAGAUUAUUUCAGAUAUGUAUGUAAGACUGUUUCCUGAACAAUAAGAUGUAUGAAAGGAGCAGAAAUAAAUAAUUUUUCUAAUUAAAAAAAAAAA
ensembl:lncRNA OSTCP1 oligosaccharyltransferase complex subunit pseudogene 1